rnacentral:snRNA from 1 species
AGCUUUGCGCAGUGGCAGUAUCAUAGCCAAUGAAGUUUAUCUGAGGCACAAUUAUUGCUAAUUGAAAACUUUUCCCAAUAAAUCACUCAGUUAACAUAAAUAAAAUAAAGCUAACUAUCUUUAUUUAAAAUAUUUAAAAAAUAUUUUUAUAU